rnacentral:rRNA from 1 species
UACGAACCGUGCGAACGUUAUUCGGAAUCACUGGGCUUAAAGCGCGUGUAGGCGGGCCGGCACGUCCGGUGCUGAAAGCCCCCGGCUCAACCGGGGAAGUGGCACGGAUACGACCGGCCUGGAGGGGGGUAGGGGGACCUGGAACUCCCGGUGGAGCGGUGAAAUGCGUUGAGAUCGGGAGGAACGCCCGUGGCGAAGGCGAUCACCUGGGGUUGUUCUGACGCUGAGGAGCGAAAGCUAGGGGAGCAAACGGG